GACCCUGUAGCACCCGGUGUGCAUCUGCUCUUUGAACCUUUCGAAGCAACUUAUAGCGGAAGGACCUGGUUCGAUUCCAGGCGGGGAUCA